UGAGCUUGAUCCUGGCUCAGGACGAACGCUGGCGGCGUGCCUAAUACAUGCAAGUCGAGCGAAUCUGAUAAAAGCUUGCUUUUUGAAGAUUAGCGGCGGACGGGUGAGUAACACGUGGGCAACCUGCCUGUAAGACUGGGAUAACUUCGGGAAACCGGAGCUAAUACCGGAUAAUAUAAAGAACCUCCUGGUUCUUUAUUGAAAGAUGGUUUCGGCUAUCACUUACAGAUGGGCCCGCGGCGCAUUAGCUAGUUGGUGAGGUAACGGCUCACCAAGGCGACGAUGCGUAGCCGACCUGAGAGGGUGAUCGGCCACACUGGGACUGAGACACGGCCCAGACUCCUACGGGAGGCAGCAGUAGGGAAUCUUCCACAAUGGACGAAAGUCUGAUGGAGCAACGCCGCGUGAGCGAUGAAGGCCUUCGGGUCGUAAAGCUCUGUUGUUAGGGAAGAACAAGUACCGGAGUAACUGCCGGUACCUUGACGGUAC
rnacentral:rRNA from 1 species